rnacentral:rRNA from 1 species
UACGGGGGGAGCAAGCGUUGUUCGGAUUUACUGGGCGUAAAGGGCGCGUAGGCGGCGCAACAAGUCACUUGUGAAAUCUCCGGGCUUAACCCGGAGCGGUCAAGUGAUACUGUCGUGCUAGGAGUUCGGAAGAGGCGAGUGGAAUUCCCGGUGUAGCGGUGAAAUGACGCAGAAUAUCGGGGAGGAACACCCUAUGGCCGAAGGCAGCUCGCUGGGACGUUACUGA